rnacentral:lncRNA from 1 species
CUUGCUCUGAGUGAAUGCACCUCUCAUACACCCGGGAGCUGACUCCUGCUUCAAGAGCCAAGAUCCUCAGGCACAGAAUCAGGGAACAGGAGUCCUGGGCUCUGCCCUUGCUUGUGGAGUUCUGGAAACGAAUGCAUUUGGAGUAGGUGAUGUUUAGUGAUCUUUUCUGUUCUCAAUUCCUGUAAUACAAAUAAACAAUAAAAUACUUACAUCUUUAUUAUUU